rnacentral:rRNA from 1 species
GAAGACUGACGGGUAGCCUGAUACGCUGCAAGUCGAGACGGCAGCACGGGUGCUUGCACCUGGUGGCGAGUGGCGAACGCCUUUACGAGAGAUCGUUAACAUUUCCUGUAGUGGGGGAUAGCCCGCCCUUUUUAAGGAUUAAUACCGCAUACGAUCUAUGGAUGAAAGCGGGGGACCUUCGGGCCUCGCGCUAUAGGGUUGGCCGAUGGCUGAUUAGCUAGUUGGUGGGGUAAAGGCCUACCAAGGCGACGAUCAGUAGCUGGUCUGAGAGGACGACCAGCCACACUGGGACUGAGACACGGCCCAGACUCCUACGGGAGGCAGCAGUGGGGAAUUUUGGACAAUGGGCGAAAGCCUGAUCCAGCAAUGCCGCGUGUGUGAAGAAGGCCUUCGGGUUGUAAAGCACUUUUGUCCGGAAAGAAAUCCUUGGCUCUAAUACAGUCUGGGGAUGACGGUACCGGAAGAAUAAGCACCGGCUAACUACGUGCCAGCAGCCGCGGUAAUACGUAGGGUGCAAGCGUUAAUCGGAAUUACUGGGCGUAAAGCGUGCGCAGGCGGUUUGCUAAGACCGAUGUGAAAUCCCCGGGCUCAACCUGGGAACUGCAUUGGUGACUGGCAGGCUAGAGUAUGGCAGAGGGGGGUAGAAUUCCACGUGUAGCAGUGAAAUGCGUAGAGAUGUGGAGGAAUACCGAUGGCGAAGGCAGCCCCCUGGGCCAAUACUGACGCUCAUGCACGAAAGCGUGGGGAGCAAACAGGAUUAGAUACCCUGGUAGUCCACGCCCUAAACGAUGUCAACUAGUUGUUGGGGAUUCAUUUCCUUAGUAACGUAGCUAACGCGUGAAGUUGACCGCCUGGGGAGUACGGUCGCAAGAUUAAAACUCAAAGGAAUUGACGGGGACCCGCACAAGCGGUGGAUGAUGUGGAUUAAUUCGAUGCAACGCGAAAAACCUUACCUACCCUUGACAUGGUCGGAAUCCUGAAGAGAUUCGGGAGUGCUCGAAAGAGAACCGGCGCACAGGUGCUGCAUGGCUGUCGUCAGCUCGUGUCGUGAGAUGUUGGGUUAAGUCCCGCAACGAGCGCAACCCUUGUCCUUAGUUGCUACGCAAGAGCACUCUAAGGAGACUGCCGGUGACAAACCGGAGGAAAGGUGGGGAUGACGUCAAGUCCUCAUGGGCCCUUUUGGGGUAAGGGUUUCCACCGUCUUUACAUGGGCCGGAAAACAAGGGUUUCCCACCCCCCGAAGGGGGGACUUAAUCCCCAGAAAACCCGAUAUUGAAUCCCGGAUUUGCCCCUUCGAACCCCAGGGGUCGUAAAACUGGGAAUCCCUUUGAAAACCCCGGAAUACCAAUCCGCGGGGGAAGAAAAAUUU